GCGGUCCAUGGCUCUUUGAGGUGGUUGCGAUCUGCCAAUUCAAAUUUAAAGAAGAAGUCUCAUUAACUAGUUGACAAUUCUUCUAGGGUGUAUUUUUACAACUCUUAGUUGAAGUACAAGUAUAGUCUAUAGAUCGCAUAGGAAGAUGGAAGACGAUGUUUUAACAACACUGAAAAUUUAAUAAUUGGAGAAAGUGGCGUUGGGAAGUCCAGUCUUCUCUUGAGAUUCACAGAUGACACAUUUGAUCCAGAACUAGCAGCAACAAUAGGCGUUGAUUUCAAAGUGAAGACUAUCUCAGUGGAUGGGAACAAGGCAAAGUUGGCAAUAUGGGACACGGCUGGCCAGGAGCGUUUCCGAACCCUGACACCUAGUUAUUACCGUGGCGCGCAGGGAGUCAUCCUGGUGUAUGAUGUAUCACGACGGGAUACUUUCACCAAGCUGGACAACUGGCUCAAUGAGCUGGAGACGUACUGCACAAGGAAUGACCUUGUCAAGAUGCUGGUCGGGAACAAAAUUGAUAAGGAAAACCAUGAACUAGACAGGAACGAAGGCCUGAAGUUUGCAAGAAAACAUUCCAUGCUGUUUAUAGAGGCCAGUGCUAAGACGCGUGAUGGGGUCCAGUGUGCGUUUGAGGAGCUGGUUGAGAAGAUCAUCCAGACCCCUGGACUGUGGGAGAGCGAGACGCAGGGCCGAGGGGUCCAGCUGGGCCGGCAGGACCAGGCUGCAGGGGGUGGCUGUGGGGGUUACUGCUCCCUGGUAUAGACCCACACUACAUUCACACGCGACGCGCGCACAUACGAAGCAUAGACACUCAUAUACACACACACACACAUACGAAACGCACCCCACACACACACUCACUUGAAAGACACACCCAACCAAACACACACUGAUGGCUGAUGUCCUGCGAUGAGGACUAUGAAAGCUAUAGUUUUCAGACUAUUUACCACAUCAGCCCCUGAGGUGUGGAGUGAGGCAGGGCUGCUCAUGACCAGCACCCUCCGCUCACUGGCUGUGAUCAUUCAUAGGGAUGUUGCUGUUUGCACACUUCCUGUUAUCAUGGCUAUAAUUCUGUUUUAAAGGUACUGUCGGUCUUUCUGAAAAUGAAAUUAGUGUAUGACUUGGUGGAAUCGUGAGGUGGGGCACAGUACCAUGGAUAGCAGAUGGGGGUAUUAUUUUCUAAAUGAAAAUAAUAUCACCAUUUCUCAAUUACGGUUGUAUCGAGUUUUGUUUGUCCUCCCCCCUCAACACUUUUUUUUCUUUGUAGAAUUCCCCCCCUCUCUCCUUUAACACUUUGUUCCUCUUAGCAAGGCAAGCUAGUGUGUGUUGACAGCUAGUGUGUGUUGGCUGCAGGGAUGAUUCUCCAGUGUGUGCAUCUACCCUGUGUGAUCAUGCAACCUUGUUCUCCAGUGCUCGCCCUCCUAACAGCGCUGCAGUUGAUUUUCUUGUCAGGCCAAGCCUUCAUGUAUUCUCUCUCUCUCUUCUCUUUUUGUCUCUCUUCCACAAGCUGCCUCUUUUGUUCUAAAAAUUAUAGUCACCAUGUUUUUGGAACAAAGUUUUACAACUUUUCCUGACUUGGACUCAAAACUUUCAGCAUUUUUUAGAAGGGUUUAUAAAUCAAACAGAUUGGCACAGGAGGAUUGGCUAUCCAUUGUGUGUGUUGUGAAAGAGAAACUAAACGAACCAACGCUGCAUGUUUUGUUGGUUGUUCUAAUGGGCUGUGACCAGCCUGGUUAUCUGCCACUCAGACAGUUAAAUAUGAAUAUCAGUAUCAGCGCUAGCGUCAGUCUUGCUUCAGCUUUUCAUAAUGUGUCCCUAUAUGGAAAAAAGACCAACGAUGGGUGUUGGCAUUGAAAUCAAAGAAGGUGUAAGACCUGUUUUAAAAAUAAAUAAAAAAGAGUUUUGCAAUGCUCUGUCUCCACGUUCCAUGUCCUUAGACCUUGCCUGUAGUUCUUGAGAGCCGGGAAGAAUGUGUUGGGAAAUGUAGUUUUGGGUGACCGUACCUAUGGUAUAUUUGUCAGGAGUGACACGGAUGCCUUUACAGUAUGUCUAAUCAGAAUAUAAUGAUUUCUUAUCCUUAAUUGCAUGUAGAAUUCUUUUAAUUUUUCAUGUUUGUUCUAUAAAUGCCUUGCAGAGACCGUUGCACUGUGUCCCAAAAUGGCACCCUAUUAACUAUAUAGUGGACUACUUUCAACCACCCUGGUCUAAAGUAGUGCACUAUAUAGAGAAUUAGGGUGCCAUCUCGGACACAAACUUGGACUGUAUGAACCACACAUACACAACAAUUGAGUUAAAUGUACCUUCAUCCAGGACCUUGCACACAGGGUUUCGAGUAGCCUGCAUAGAGAUGUUUUAUUUGUCCUGAAUGAACUAGACGUCUGCUUUAUGAUGGAAAUGACAGAGGCUUUAACUCUUGAACUUGUUCUUUUCUGUUUAUAUGUGACAGCAUAUAAACACAUUGUAAAUUCAUGUGUGUGUGUUUCGGAAUACUUAUGAAAAUAUGUAUAAUUCCUGUGUGGAUUGUAAAAUUUGAAUGUAUACAUACUACAAUUAUAAAACCGCCCUAUGUAUUAAAGUGAAUAAAGUAAUUUUUAAAGGA